UACAGAGGUCUCAAGCGUUGUUCGGAUUCAUUGGGCGUAAAGGGUGUGUAGGUGGCGCCGUAAGUCGGGGUGUGAAAUUUCGGAGCUUAACUCCGAAACUGCAUUCGAUACUGCGGUGCUUGAGGACUGGAGAGGAGACUGGAAUUUACGGUGUAGCAGUGAAAUGCGUAGAUAUCGUAAGGAAGACCAGUGGCGAAGGCGGGUCUCUGGACAGUUCCUGACGCUGAGGCACGAAGGCCAGGGGAGCAAACGGG
rnacentral:rRNA from 1 species